UAAUUUGGGGCAAAGAGUAUAGUGCCCAGCGCUUAGAACAGUGCUCAGCACUUAGAACAGUGCUCUGCACAUAGUAAGCGCUUAAUAAAUGCCAUUAUUAAAAAAAAAGAGUAGCCUUGUAGAAGGAGCAGCCCUGUGUCAGACGUAAAGAACAGGAUGGAACCUAUCUCUGUGGUAAAUUCAGACCAGUUAGUCUGCAGGAAAGACACUCGGGAAGGUUGAUCCAUUUUCAACACUUGCUAUCCACUAGGCUUAGCAGGUGGAUUAGCGAAGGGCAAGAGAGCCUAACCCAAGUUUUGCCACUUGACUCAGAUGACUGACAACUGUAUUUCUGCCUCACAACACCGGGUCAGGUUUGGGUCCUUUUCAAUCCAUCAGAGAAGCAACCAGUGCCAUCUGCGCUUGACCUCGCACGGUCUCUGGGAUCAGAAAUCUCAGCCGCAGAAGACUUAUGUGGUGAGAGACCCAAUGAUAUCCUUUCUUCCUGUUCCCUCCGGGACACAGCCCAUAGAAGAUGGGAGAGAGAAGCAAGCACAGGCCAGCUCACCUCUGUGGAAUACACCCCAGUGGCGAUAUACAACCGGUUGGACAUUGGAUCUCAGUUUUGCAUUUAAAUGGAAAAAGUCGGUUCUAACAUGACAAACAGGAGACAACUUCUAAACUAAUCACCAAAGAUUUCCUGGCCGGACAGAAGAAGGGUCACUUCUAAAUCAGAAAAACAGCAUGGCGUAGUGGAUAGAGCACGGGCCCGGGAGU